ensembl:scaRNA small Cajal body-specific RNA 16
ACGGUCUGGGAAAAGGCUCCUGUGUGGCUGAACCCGCCCGAGGUGGGUGCAGCCCCGUACCAGACAGCCCGACCUUGACCUAAAGUAAAAUCCCAGAGGAGGAGGAUCUUCCCUGGGGUUAGAAUUUGCAGUAACAGGUGUGGACAUCCUAGCAGCAGUUUGGUGGUCAUGUAUGAUACUGCAAACAGGA